rnacentral:rRNA from 1 species
GACAGAGGGUGCAAACGUUGUUCGGAAUUACUGGGCGUAAAGCGUGCGCAGGCGGUUUUGUAAGCCAGAUGUGAAAUCCCCGGGCUCAACCUGGGAAUGGCAUUUGGGACUGCAAGGCUGGAGUGCGGCAGAGGAGACUGGAAUUCCUGGUGUAGCAGUGAAAUGCGUAGAUAUUGGGAAGAACACCGGUGGCGAAGGCGGCUCACUGGCUCAUAUCUGACGCUCAGGCGCGACAGCGUGGGGAUCAAACAGG